AAGGAACUAGGUUUGGAAACGGAUGACAAGACAGCUCUCUCUGCAAAGUUUAGGGAAAGACUGGAGCCUAACAAAGAAAAAAUACCGGCUCAUGUCAUGCAAGUUAUUGAAGAAGAACUUACAAAACUGCAACUACUGGAAGCUAGUUCAAGUGAAUUCAAUGUGACACGUAAUUAUCUUGAUUGGUUGACUGCCUUGCCAUGGGGUAGUUACAGUGAUGAGAACUUUGAUGUACUACGGGCAGAAACAAUUCUUGAUGAAGACCACUAUGGGUUAAGCGAUGUUAAGGAAAGGAUCUUGGAAUUUAUAGCUGUGGGAAAACUCCGAGGAACCUCACAAGGGAAAAUCAUAUGCCUCUCUGGCCCUCCUGGAGUGGGCAAAACCAGUAUAGGUCGUUCAAUUGCGCGUGCAUUGAACCGCAAGUUCUACCGAUUUUCUGUUGGAGGGUUGUCUGAUGUCGCUGAAAUAAAGGGACAUCGACGGACUUAUAUUGGCGCCAUGCCAGGGAAGAUGGUGCAAUGUUUAAAAAGUGUGGGAACAGCUAAUCCUCUUGUUUUGAUAGAUGAAAUUGAUAAGCUGGGAAGGGGACAUGCUGGUGAUCCAGCAAGUGCUAUGUUGGAACUUCUUGAUCCAGAACAGAAUGCAAAUUUCUUGGAUCAUUAUCUUGAUGUCCCUAUUGAUUUAUCAAAGGUUUUGUUUGUCUGCACAGCCAAUGUCUUGGAAAUGAUACCUAAUCCUCUUUUGGAUAGAAUGGAGGUAAUCACAAUUGCUGGUUACAUUACUGAUGAGAAACUGCACAUAGCCCGGGAU
rnacentral:misc_RNA from 1 species